rnacentral:rRNA from 1 species
UACAGAGAGUGCAAGCGUUAAUCAGAAUUACUGGGCGUAAAGCGCACGUAGGUGGAUAUUUAAGUCACAUGUGAAAGCCCCGGGCUUAACCUGGGAACUGCAUCUGAUACUGGGUAUCUUGAGUAUGGUAGAGGGAAGUGGAAUUUCCGGUGUAGCGGUGAAAUGCGUAGAUAUCGGAAGGAACACCAGUGGCGAAAGCGGCUUCCUGGACCAAUACUGACACUGAGGUGCGAAAGCGUGGGGAGCAAACAGG